GAAAUGUCAGUGGGCCGGCUCACGGGGUGGAGGAGCGGGGGGGUGCUGAGAAAACUGCAGAUGCUUCAAAAUAAGAUGCAUUUGCCUGUUCUUUCUUUUAAAACAAAGUAAGAACCCAUUUGUGGACUGAGAGAAGCCUUUGAUUGUAUUCUGCUGCCUGCGUUCUUGCCUGUCUCUCAGCUUGGUUGAGUUUUCAGAUGAUUUUUUCCCAAGUCAUCYCUCAUCACGAUAAACAAAACAAAAGGUCACGUAACGUAUUUAUAUGUAUUUAUAACAAAUAAAAGACAUGCAUACCCAAUCUCUCUGUCCUACAUGUCUCUAAUCCAGUUGGCAGCCUAAGCAAAACUCCCGCUGAAGUGAGGUCUGAAAGAGAAAGCACAGCAGCUCUUUGCAGAGGAUCAGCRUGGUGAAGUUAGGUAAAUGAAAAAGCUCUGGACAUUUAACUCCCUAUCCUCAGGAUUUUGCUUUUUCUCCAGUUUGAGCACGCAGAAGAAUGUGGCUUAAAUCCAGCAUUUAGUUACGCAGGUGGAGAUGGACUUGGUGUCUGUGGGGGCUUUGCCCUCCAAGCUCAAGCUGUGGUUUAGGGGUUAUCCAUUGUAUGCUCAGCUCCAAGGGCACCCAUUUAAAACAUGCAGGGAAGGAAAUCACUUAAAGGCUGCUUUUCCCUUUUGCUUGUUUUUCUGUUGUAUCUACAACUUGCCUCUAGACUUGUGUGGGAUUUGGGCCGCUUCGGUGUCAUCUCUAAGCUAAGAACCUCUUGCCAAGAACGGACUGCACUGCUGCAAGUUACCAAGAGGCAUCUCUUUCGGUGUGAUUUACUCUUUGUGUUGUGCUGCUUCUGAAUCCGCUGCCAAGCGAAUGCCUAAAACUGCAGGAAAGAAGGUUUUGUUGGGACGGAGCGGGCAAUAAACCAACAUUAUCACAUUUGUGCGCGUGAACUGUCAGUGUUAACCUUGCAAAUGGACAUGGGUAUCUUGGGGGUGAGACCCUGUAAUUUGUCAUAUGGUUUUCUCCUUCCCUGGCAUAGGAAAAAACUUUGAUUCUUGCAUUCCAUGUUAGGAUUUAACUGUCUGCUUUUGAUUGCUGUUUCAAAGAAUAUAAAGGGUGGGUUUCAU